GCUAUACAUGCAGUCGAGCGAAUGACGAAGAGCUUGCUUCUUCUGAUUUAGCGGCGGACGGGUGAGUAACACGUGGGCAACCUGCCCUGUAGAUUGGGAUAACUCCGGGAAACCGGGGCUAAUACCGAAUAAUCCAUUUCCUCNCAUGGGGAGAUGUUAAAAGACGGCAUCUCGCUGUCACUACAGGAUGGGCCCGCGGCGCAUUAGCUAGUUGGUGAGGUAACGGCUCACCAAGGCGACGAUGCGUAGCCGACCUGAGAGGGUGAUCGGCCACACUGGGACUGAGACACGGCCCAGACUCCUACGGGAGGCAGCAGUAGGGAAUCUUCCACAAUGGACGAAAGUCUGAUGGAGCAAUGCCGCGUGAGUGAAGAAGGUUUUCGGAUCGUAAAACUCUGUUGUGAGGGAAGAACAAGUACGAGAGUAACUGCUCGUACCUUGACGGUACCUCAUUAGAAAGCCACGGCUAACUACGUGCCAGCAGCCGCGGUAAUACGUAGGUGGCAAGCGUUGUCCGGAAUUAUUGGGCGUAAAGCGCGCGCAGGCG
rnacentral:rRNA from 1 species